rnacentral:misc_RNA from 1 species
GUAGGUGAACCUGCGGAAGGAUCAUUAGUGAAAAACAGGGUGUCUUCGGACCCCAACCUCUCACAUCCACACACACCUGUGCACUUGUUGAUCUGGAGAAAGGGAAGCUUGCUUCUUGGAUGCCAGGUCAUUUUUUAAUCACACACUCUUUGUCCUUUGGAUGUAACCUUCUAUCGCUGUAAUAGCGUCGAAAUCAAAUAAAACUUUUAACAACGGAUCUCUUGGCUCUC